UGCAUCCAGGCCCUGUCAGUGCUUCUCUGACCCAGGGGAGCAAGGCGGGGGGCAGUAUGCUGGGCCAGGUGGUUGGUGUGGGGGUUGUGACCAUGUGCAGGGGGCUUUCGCAGGCAGGGUGCUAGCUCCACACCAAGCAGACAUGAGCCCAGGAAGCAGACUCAGUCGCUGUCCCCAAAGCUCUGUCAUUUCCUGGGCAGACUCUUGGUUGCUGCAGCUGCACCAAAGCCAGGAAGGAAAGGGUUAAAAGGGGGAGGGCCUGAUAUGAGCAGAUACUUGAUAUGCAAAUGAGGCCAGAAUAGGUAUUAUAAGUGACUCAGCUGGAGGAGUUAGCUCUGGAGUGGAAAGAAGGAGCCCACUCCCCCUGGCCCGGCCCUAGCCAGGUUCCCUUUUCCAGCGCAGGCAGCAAGAGUGUCCACCUGCCGUGGGGGCUCUGGGCAGGAUAUCAUCGUAUACUGUAAGUUUGCUAUGAGACACUACAGUAUAGAUGAUGUACUAUCCUGAGCUUCACCCCUCAGCCAGGAGCUCUACUGCAGGUCCAGCGUACGGGAGAACGCCUGGCCAGCUGGGAGCAGUGGCCCAAAGCGCUUCUAGCACAGCACAAGUUCCUCCCCCUCCCACAGAGGGGUGGAGGGCUAAGCACUGUGGGGGGGCUAAAGUCUCCCAUGAAGGCCUGGCCCUGCCUGUGGCAGCCUCACCCCUUCAGCCUCUUCCUGCAUUCAGGGUGCUCCUUUUCCCUGGGUUUCCAGUGUGGGACGGAAACAAGCGCUACCUUCGCUGCUGCUCUGGAACACCUGCAUGAACAGGCUGCAAGUGGGGAGGCAGCCAAUGGGAAAGAAAGGGUUAACAACCCUUCCUCCCGCCAGGCUGGGAGGCACUGCCCUGCUAAGCCAUGGGGGGUGGGAAAGGGAAGAUUCCACUGCCGCAUGGGCAAGAAACCGCUUUCAGAGCUGGCGAAGGCACCUGCCAGGAAGCUGAGCCCAUGGGGUGUCAAUGAAACCGUUACCAUUACUGACUUUAGUAAUGGUAACGGUUCUACUGCUGCCCCAGCAUCCGGCCAGCGAGAGCAAGAGGAGCAGCACCCCAUUGCCGGGGGGAGCAGCACCCCUCCAGGGUGCCAGCCUCUAUGGGAGGCCAGCAAUGAGAUCCUCCCCCUACGUCCUCUCCAAGCUGUGGGGGGGAGAGCUUGGGGUGCCCUGCCUGGGGGUCAGAUUCCCUUGGGCCAGACCCCCUCUCCCUAGUCCCUCUGCCCAUCAAUGAGAAAUAAAGGUCUUUUCUUUGA